GUUAGCCUGCGUCCGAUUAGCUAGUUGGUGGGGUAAGGGCCUACCAAGGCGACGAUCGGUAGCUGGUCUGAGAGGAUGACCAGCCACACUGGAACUGAGACACGGUCCAGACUCCUACGGGAGGCAGCAGUGGGGAAUAUUGGACAAUGGGGGGAACCCUGAUCCAGCAAUGCCGCGUGUGUGAAGAAGGCCUGAGGGUUGUAAAGCACUUUCAGUAGGGAGGAGGGUUGAUAGGUUAAGAGCUAAUUAACUGGACGUUACCUACAGAAGAAGCACCGGCUAACUCCGUGCCAGCAGCCGCGGUAAUACGGAGGGUGCGAGCGUUAAUCGGAAUUACUGGGCGUAAAGAGUGCGUAGGUGGUUGAUUAAGUUAUCUGUGAAAUCCCUGGGCUUAACCUGGGCAGGUCAGAUGAUACUGAUUGACUCGAGUAUGGGAGAGGGUAGUGGAAUUUCCGGUGUAGCGGUGAAAUGCGUAGAGAUCGGAAGGAACACCAGUGGCGAAGGCGGCUACCUGGCCUAAUACUGACACUGAGGCACGAAAGCGUGGGGAGCAAACAGGAUUAGAUACCCUGGUAGUCCACGCUGUAAACGAUGUCAACUAGCUGUUGG
rnacentral:rRNA from 1 species